rnacentral:rRNA from 1 species
AUUGAACGCUGGCGGCAUGCCUUACACAUGCAAGUCGAACGGUAACAGGUUAAGCUGACGGGUGGCGAACGGGGGAGUAAUGUAUCGGAACGUGCCCAGUCGUGGGGGAUAACUGCUCGAAAGAGCAGCUAAUACCGCAUACGACCCGAGGGUGAAAGCGGGGGGUCGCAAGACCUCGCGCGAUUGGAGCGGCCGCUAUCAGAUUAGGUAGUUGGUGAGGUAAAGGCGCACCAAGCCGACGAUCUGUAGCUGGUCUGAGAGGACGACCAGCCACACUGGGACUGAGACACGGCCCAGACUCCUACGGGAGGCAGCAGUGGGGAAUUUUGGACAAUGGGCGCAAGCCUGAUCCAGCCAUGCCGCGUGCGGGAAGAAGGCCUUCGGGUUGUAAACCGCUUUUGUCAGGGAAGAAAAGGUUCUGGCUAAUACCUGGGACUCAUGACGGUACCUGAAGAAUAAGCACCGGCUAACUACGUG